GCAAACUUGGUCAUUUAGAGGAAGUAAAAGUCGUAACAAGGUUUCCGUAGGUGAACCUGCGGAAGGAUCAUUACUGAGUGGGUGGCUUGGCAGCAAGCCCGACCCCCCUCCCUCCUUGUCUUCUGCUACCACAUUACUUUGGUGGACCGGCCCCUGUGGCCGCCGGGGGCCCCCCCAGCCCCCUGAUCAUUGGGGAUUGUGGGGGCCCAUCUGGCCCGCGUCUGCCAGAGGCCAUUUUAACGCUCAUGAUCAUAACGGAGGUCUGAAUGGGAGCUUAUAACUGAAAAAAAACUUUCAACAAUGGAUCUCUUGGUUCCGGCAUCGAUGAAGAACGCAGC
rnacentral:misc_RNA from 1 species